rnacentral:tRNA from 1 species
GCCUGGGUGGCUCAGUAGGUCAAGCAUCUGACUUCAGCUCAGAUCAUGAUCUCAUGAUCAUGAGUUUGAGUCCCGUGUUGGGCU